GCCCAGCUAGGUCAGUCGGUAGAGCAUGAGACUCUUAAUCUCAGGGUCAUGGGUUCUUGCCCCAUGUUGAGCA
rnacentral:tRNA from 1 species